CAUUACCGAGUUUACAACUCCCAAACCCCUGUGAACCUUACCUAUCGUUGCCUCGGCGGCUGUCUCCGCAGCCGCCAGAGGACCCAAACUCUUGUUUUUUAUGUGGCAUAUUCUGAGUAACACAAGUAAAUAAAUCAAAACUUUCAACAACGGAUCUCUUGGUUCUGGCAUCGAUGAAGAACGCAGCGAAAUGCGAUAAGUAAUGUGAAUUGCAGAAUUCAGUGAAUCAUCGAAUCUUUGAACGCACAUUGCGCCCGCUAGUAUUCUGGCGGGCAUGCCUGUUCGAGCGUCAUUUCAACCCUCAAGCCCCCCGGGGCUUGGUGUUGGGGAUCGGCCCGCCCCUGGUGGCGCGCCGGCCCCGAAAUCUAGUGGCGGUCUCGCUGCAGCUUCCUCUGCGUAGUAAUACACCUCGCACCGGAGAGCGGCGCGGCCACGCCGUUAAACCCCCCACUUCUGAAGGUUGACCU
rnacentral:rRNA from 1 species